GACGAACGCUGGCGGCGUGCUUAACACAUGCAAGUCGAACGGAAAGGCCCUGCUUUUGUGGGGUGCUCGAGUGGCGAACGGGUGAGUAACACGUGAGUAACCUGCCCUUGACUGUGGGAUAACUUCAGGAAACUGGGGCGAAUACCGGGUAUGAGCUCCUGCUGCAUGGUGGGGGUUGGAAAGUUUCGGCGGUUGGGGAUGGACUCGCGGCUUAUCAGCUUGUUGGUGGAGUAGUUGCUUACCAAGGCUUUGACGGGUAGCCUGCCUGAGAGGGUGACCGGCCACAUUGGGACUGAGAUACGGCCCAGACUCCUACGGGAGGCAGCAGUGGGGAAUAUUGCAGAAUGGGCGGAAGCCUGAUGCAGCAACGCCGCGUGCGGGAUGACGGCCUUCGGGUUGUAAACCGAUUUCGCAUGUGACGAAGCGUGAGUGACGGUAAUGGGUAAAGAAGCCCCGGCUAACUACGUG
rnacentral:rRNA from 1 species